rnacentral:lncRNA from 1 species
GCGGGCCGUAUGAAGGUGUAACCGGAUUCCUUUGAUUUCUUAAGUCCAGGCGGGCCGCGUAAGGCCACACCGUUAGUUUACGCGGGCCGCGAGUGUCCCGAUUCGUGGCGCAGCCCGGUGAUGACACGUGUCAUCAUCGUGGCAGGUCUAGAGGAUGAGCCGGACAAGCUAGUCCGUUGACCAGGGUUGACGCGGGCCGCGUGACCCCUGUCCUUUCUUUACGCGGGCCGCGUGGGAACCAGAAUCAGCACCUAUAUAAGCAGGCAUCGGGUUUUAGUAUUCCUCGUUCAUUUCUUUUCUUUCUAAACGAAUUCUGAAGUAGUAGAAGUGAUACGCGGGUAUUAUACCCCCUAAUUAGCGAAGCUCUGCCUCGUUACUAUAACCAAGGAAUCACAAAGGAAAGCCUUAUAAUAGCAAUGUGAGUGAUCCUUCUUUUUAUAUACUCAUUUUUGUGAGUUGAUCCACUUUUUGUUAACUAUUUUUACAAAACCUUGCAUACUUGUCUAUGCAAAUAACAGUUAUUGAGUAUUUGUAAGAAUACAAUUAUCACGGGUAUGUUGGGGUUUUGUAUACAAAAUUGUUACAACCUGGAUAGGAAACCUGGAUAUGGAGUAACAUUACCACAAGUCGGGUAUCGACAGUACCACGGGUGAUAAUUGAUAUAACUUGGAAACAAAUGUAAUUGCGGGAUCGCCCUCAAUACUGUUCACUGUGACUUUUUAUUUAAACUUGAUUAAACUGGGAUUCACUCACCAGUAUUUCCUGCUGAUAAAAUGUUUUAAACACGUGUUUCAGGUAACUUAGUGUAAAGCCAAUAGAAGCCAGCUGGAGAGCACUGAAGGCUUGGAAAAGUGGCAAUAAAGUUACCUAAAAUAAAAUAGAUGUUUUUAUUAAAUAAAAUAGGAUUUAUUCCUAUGAAAAUGUAUGUACUGAAAAACUUGGGUUUUAUCCCAUGUGUUUAAUAUAAUGAAAAGAAGGUGGUUUUACUCUGAUAAAAUAUUUCCUAACUACGGUCCUGAUGAAAAAUUCCGCUGCCAAAUAGACAAUACGCGAUACCACCGAAACUGGCUCACGGCCGCCCGCUCCUGAGGGAUCGGGGGUUGUGAAAGAAGGUGGUAUCAGAGCUAUGCCACUGGUUCAAGCCAAAGAAGUAGUAUAAGUAACCAAUAUGACUAGACGUACCCAUAGGCUACCUCGGCAGAUGUAUUAUACAACACUCUUAUACAAUUAGUAACUUAAGGUAUCACCUUGAGUGAGAUCUCUUCUUAAAUAAAUGAAUGUACCGUAAUAUAUAUACAUAUAUAUAUAUAUAUAUGUGUGUGUGUGUAUAUACUACUAUGUGUAUAUCAACCUUACUAGGAAAUAUUAAUACACGUUCAUUUUGUAAAAAAUAUUCAUAGAUCAUGGGUAUAAAUUUUAGAUAUUAAAUCUAAAAUCAUAAUUUAUGGUAAAUUUACAUAAGAAAUUGAAUAAUAUUAUGUAUCCACCUUAAAUAAAAGUAUGUUAUUUUAAGUUGAUUCAUAGACUUCAUGAUCUAUACCAUGAUCUAUCCUUAUGAAUGGCGGUAUAGAUUAUGGUAAAUUCCUGAAUUGACCUUAAAUCCAGAAAUCGUGUUAAUGUACAAUAUUAAUUGUAUGUAAAAUAAUUGUAGUAUAGUAUACUUCUAAUAAACAUACGUUAUAAUGCACUAUAAAAAAAAGGGUCUGAUGGUUUGUACAAUCGGUAUAAAAGAAAGUUAAUAGUUAGUGUUUUUAAGAAGUAAAAAUAAAGAAAAUAAAGAAAUCACAACCAAAGAAAGUGAUAAUAAAUGCACAAACUCAGGAAACAGACAAUAACCUAUCAUGGGAAGAUAAACAAUGGGUAAAUCUCCAUAUAUUAGCCACUACAGAAGUAAAUAUUAAUUUAUAGUUGAAUCGCAAAACCAGUACCAGCACCCAUGCCACCUAUGAGCCAGAAAUUUUAAAAGAAAUUUUGCCCAUUAAAUAAACAACCUAAAAGAAAAAGAUAGAAUAAAACCAUACAUAAAAGUAUGUUGAGCAUAAUACUCCUAUAACCUAGAUAGACUAAAAUAAGUUAUGAAUGCAUAAUUCCUAGUAUAUUUUGAACCCCAGUUGUAAUUGCAAUAAAUAUACAUAUAUAUAUAUAUAUAAGUCGCAAUGUUCGCCGUUUUUAAUCAAUCUAUUUUUAUGAUGGUACCCAAAUAGUUAUACUAGAAAUUUGUCUGUGAUAAUUAAUACCACCUAAUCAAAUAACAUUAUAAUAUACAUCAAACUAAGUUAGUUGUUAACAAAGCAAUCAUGUUCACGACUUUCUUUUGGAACCAAUCAUUUACUUUGGUUUAAAAUACAUAUUGAAAUAUAUGGUAUAAAGUUUUAAAACUUUGUGGUUUUAAAUAAUAUUGUCUCAAAAUAAAUUAUAUUUAAAUAAAUAAAACCGAAGCUAGUAAAUUAACCGAAAUGAUUUUGAAAAAAAAAAAAAAAAAAAAGUUUGCUUUAGUGGAUUGAGCCAAAGCAAGUUUUUGAAACCCAUGUGUACCAAUUUUCCACUUUAUUUUAUUCCUUCUGGUUUGUAACCAGUUGACCAUAAGACUUUAUACUUUCAUAAUUUUAUGUUGGGAUUAUUUGUAAAGGUUUCUAUUAAAAUACUUAGCGAUAAAAUAAAUGGUUAAAUGAAUAUGAGGGAUAUUCAUGAUUAAAUAAAAUCAUUUAAAUUUUUUUGAUUUGGGUUGAUUAGACUACGUAGAAAUGUCUAACUAAACAUUAAAAGCAUUUCUACAAAUCUUUAAGGUAUGUCCAGAAUAUGUCUUAUGCAUGGAAAUAAUUGAUAUAAGACUAACCCGUCAUAUUAGUUAUAUAAUUGUGUAUCCUA